GAUGAACGCUGGCGGUAUGCUUAACACAUGCAAGUCGAACGGACUCUUCGGAGUUAGUGGCGGACGGGUGAGUAACGCGUGAGAAUCUGGCUUUGGGUUCGGGACAACCACUGGAAACGGUGGCUAAUACCGGAUGUUCCGAGAGGUAAAAGAGAAAUUGACUGAAGAUUGGGUCGCGUCUGAUUAGCUAGGUGGUGAGGUGAAGGAACACCAAGGAAGCGAUCAAGCGCUUGUCUGAGAGGAAGGACAGCCACACUGGGACUGAGACACGGCCCAGACUCAUACGGGCGGCAGCAGGGGGGAAUUAUCCGCAAAGGGCGAACGACUGACGGAGCAAUACCGCGUGAGGGAAGAAGGCUCUUGGGUUGUAAACAUCUUUUCUUAGGGAAGAACAAAAUGACGGUACCUAAGGAAACAGCAUCGGCUAACUCCGUG
rnacentral:rRNA from 1 species